AGAGUUUGAUUCUGGCUCAGAACGAACGCUGGCAGCGUGGAUUAGGCAUGCAAGUCGAACGAGAAGCCCUGGUCUCAAUCUUCGGAGAGAAACCAGGGUGGACAGUGGCGGAAGGGUGAGUAACGCGUGGGCAAUUUGCCUCCGGAUUGGGGACAACUCCGCGAAAGCGGGGCUAAUACCGAAUAUGGUCUCCUGUCGCAUGACGGGAAGAUUAAAGAUGGGGAUUCUUCGGAACCUGUCGUCUGGAGAGGAGCCCGCGUACGAUCAGCUUGUUGGUGAGGUAACGGCUCACCAAGGCUUUGACCGUUAGCCGGCCUGAGAGGGUGAUCGGCCACACUGGGACUGAGACACUGCCCAGACUCCUACGGGAGGCUGCAGUCGAGGAUCAUUCGCAAUGCGCGAAAGCGUGACGAUGCGACGCUGCGUGUAGGAUGACGGCCUUCGGGUUGUAAACUACUGUCAUGAGGGAAAAACCAGCGAUGGGACAAUACCCCAUCGCUCUGAUGGUACCUCAAGAGGAAGCCACGGCUAACUCUGUGCCAGCAGCCGCGGUAAUACAGAGGUGGCUAGCGUUGUUCGGAUUUACUGGGCGUAAAGCGUGCGUAGGCGGUUCCGUGUGUCGGGCGUGAAAUCCCACGGCUUACCCGUGGAAUGGCACCCGAAACUGCGGGGCUAGAGUGCAGGAGGGGAGAGCGGAAUUCUUAGUGUAGCGGUGAAAUGCGUUGAUAUUAAGAAGAACACCGGCGGCGAAGGCGGCUCUCUGGAAUGUAACUGACGCUGAGGCACGAAAGUUGGGGGAGCAAACAGGAUUAGAUACCCUGGUAGUCCCAACCGUAAACGGUGUGAACUUGGUGUAGGGGGUAUUGACCCCCCCUGUGCCGGAGCUAACGCGUUAAGUUCACCGCCUGGGGAGUACGGCCGCAAGGCUAAAACUCAAAGAAAUUGACGGGGGCCCGCACAAGCGGAGGAGCAUGUGGCUUAAUUCGAUGCAACGCGAAGAACCUUACCUGGGCUUGACAUGGGGACCCUUCGGGGGUGGUAGCGAAAGUUACCUUUACCAUCACAGGUGCUGCAUGGCUGUCGUCAGUUCGUGCCGUGAGGUGUUUGUUAAGUCCAGCGACGAACGCAACCCUUGUGACUAGUUACCAGCGUCGGUGAUGAGCCGGCAGGCACUCUAGUCAGACUGCCCGUACAAGCGGGAGGAAGGUGGGGAUGACGUCAAGUCAGUAUGGCCCUUACGCCCAGGGCUGCACACGUGCUACAAUGGUCAGUACAGAAGGAUGCAAAACCGCAAGGUCGAGCAAAUCCCCAAAGCUGGCCCCAGUUCGGAUUGGAGUCUGCAACUCGACUCCAUGAAGUCGGAUUCGCUAGUAACGGCGUAUCAGCUACGACGCCGUGAAUACGUUCCCGGGCCUUGUACACACCGCCCGUCACAUCAUGAAAGCCGUCUGCACCCGAAGUCGCUGAGCCAACCCGCAAGGGAGGCAAGUGCCGAAGGUGUGGGUGGUGAUUGGGAUGAAGUCGUAACAAGGUA
rnacentral:rRNA from 1 species